rfam:Asian citrus Psyllid, Diaphorina citri - Florida Strain, whole genome shotgun sequence.
GCCUAGUUAGCUUGGUGGGUAGAGUGUCUGCCUUGGAAGCGCUAGGUCCCGGGUUUGAUUCCCGCGCGGGGCA